GGCCGGCUGACAGCUGGAUUGGUCUCCGAGGCUAAGAAGUGUUGGCGAAGCUGAGCGGACCGGAGCAUGCGGAGAAGGGCAACGAGCUGGGGUUCACAGGAAGGACAGAAGUUAAUGUUCUGCCACCCGCCGCGGAUCUGUUCUUUGGCCCCAGGACUUGUAUUUCAGCUCUGGUUUCCUCCCCGAUCUUGGAGUCCUUUCCCUGCUCUACCCCCUUAGCCUCCGGGACGAACUGAGUCCUGGCAAUGGCAAAGGCGGGAGGGCCCGUAGGAAAGCAGAUCAUGGAGGAUUCCCAGGGGAGUCGUGGACUGGUGCAGCCAUUCUGGAGAACAAGGCGGAAUGGGCUUGGGGGGAGGAGAGGAGGAAGAGCCGUACCCACGUGUGCAAAAUGUUUGUGCCCUUUUUGUAGGGCCAGAAACUGGAACCGGAGCGGCUGCCCAUCAGUGGGAGAAGGGCUGAAUAAGUUCUGGUCUAUGAAUGUUACGGAAUGUUAUGGUUCUGUAAGAAAUGAUCAGGGUGAUUUUAGAGAAGCCUGGAGAGACUUAGAUGAACUAAUACUAAGUGAAGUGAGCAGAAGCAAGAGGACAGUAUACACGGCAAUAACAGGGAUGAUCAACUCUGAUGGACAUGACUUUUUUCCAACAAUGAUUCAGGUCAAUUCCAUUAGAUUUAUGAUGGAGAGAGCCAGUUGCAUCCAGAGAGAGGCCUGGGAACUGAGUGAGGAUCACAACAACAACUUGCAUUUUGUUUUCUUACUCAUUUUUUUCUUUUUUGAUCAGAUUUUUCUUGUGCAGCAAGAUAAUCGUAUAAAUAUGUUUACAUAUAUUGGAUUUAACAUAUAUUUUAACAUGUAUAUCAUAUAUUGGAUUACUUGUCAUCUGGGGAGGGGUUGGGGGGAAGGAGGGGAAAAUUUGGAACACAAGGUUUUGCAAGGGUCAAUGUUGAAAAUAUCCAUGCAUGUGUUUUGAAAAUAAAAAGCUUUAAUAAAUAUAAAUAAAUAAAUAAAAUAACACCUCCUUGGACUAAUCUCUUAACCACCUCAACCCCCUGGUGGCCUAAUAUUAGAAAGUCUCCAACCCCUACUGAAGGAGAAAUAAAAUGGGACAAAUUGUUCAAGGACAUAGUAAAGCAAAUGACUUCAUCUACUGAUGUAACAAUUAUUUGUCCUUGUAGAAGAGACGCUGCAAAUUUGUUUGUUGACUUCUUUCAAAAUUGUAAAAACGAUUUGGAUACUUCUCAAUUAUCUCUGGUCCUUGAGUAGGAAAGACUUUCUUGUAAAAAGUUAUGCCAGUUGCAUUCCAAAUACAGUACUCCCCUUUUCUCCCUUAGAUGAUUUCCAUCUUUUUUUUAUCCUACUUCUUCUGUUUUAGUUAUCUAUCCUAAGUUUCAAGAAAAUGCUGUUGAUUGGCUGUGUGGACUCUUUUAAGGGGACUUGAACAUUUAAGGGGAAAAAAUAUCUUUACCCUAGGAAACGGCAGGCUACUAUACAAUGAGCAGACUUCCUUAGUAUAAUAAAAAGUCUCUUGGCUUUCCA